CAAUUCAGUCAUCUCAUUCUCAAGGAUAUUAUUCUAGUUCAAAUUACAACUUCUCUCCAACCUGUCCUAGUUUUCAUUGUCAGGAGGUAGACAGAAUGGGCUUAAUCAUUCUCCAAGACAUCUCAUCAGCUUACUGCGGAGAGGUGCUGGAAGUUGGAGAAGCCUGGAGAACAUUCUACAGAUUUCACAACUUAACCGAAGGCUGGCCCCACAUAGUGGGCAGAAGUAAACAAGACAGGACGAGGAGGAAAUCAGCGAAGAAGGAAGUGUGGUGGGAACAUGCACUUCUCUGGGAUAUAAAAAGAAACAUGGCAUCAAACGUUGGGCAAUCUUCUAAAAUCGUAGAAGUCUGUCAAUGGCAGCACAUGUGCAAACACAAAACGAACAUCAUGAAAUCGACAAGGGCAAACCAGUAAAAGCACAAAGGCCCGUGGAAGACAGAGCGAUCAGAACACCAAUGCCACUGAGAUCAGUAUUAUAGGUAGAAAGAGACCUUGGAACUCAAAAAGAAGUUCAUUUCUCCAGAAAGGCAACCCUUUACUUACCAAAAAGUCACUCCCCCCCACCCAUGCGAAGCUGAAACCCAGAAGAAACACAAAGCAAAAGGUCUGACAUGUUUUUUGGGGAUAUGGCUACUUGUCUGAUGUGCUUAAGUGAAUUAAUUCACUCAGCAAACCAAUUUAACUUGUCAGAGAUCACAAUGACUGGAGAGAAGUUGGUCUGCUUGUCUCCACCACCCAAACUUUGCUAUCAUCAGUCUCCAGAUGACUGUGGACAUGUCUGUGUGUAUAGAAAAUGACCUGCUGGGGUAUUAGAUGAAAAUAUGAAAAAGGUUCCUUUUAAUUUUUGUGUUUUUUUCUUUAAAAGUUGUUUUUGUAUAUGAUAUACAUUGUGCAUAAUAUAGUAAGUUUGUAUGGUGUAUAAAUAUAAAAAUUUACAUAUGCUGUAGGUUGCACUUAAAAUAUCUAAUGAUAGGAAUGUACAAUCUAAAAAGUUUGGAAAAGAAUGCUCAAACUAUUAAGCCAUAUGGUCCCCAGAUUCAGACCAACCAAAAAAUGUAUAUACAAAUUUCUUUCAAGAAUUUAUUUUAGCACAUUUUUAUCAAUUCUGUUGAACCAAAUAAAAGUCUCCAUGUGAAAUUCAAUUCUAUUGCAUGUUCUAGAAAAAUUGUUAGCAAGUCUGCUAUUGUAGUAGCUCAAGAUUGUAAUUGCCAAAUGUAGGUUAGAGUUGUGAUUUACAAGGGAAAAGGGACUUCUAGAGCAAAAUGAUAUUGUCUAGAGGUUUGAACUGAUAUAGAUCAAGAUACUAUAAAAACCUGUUAUAAAUAGCAAAUACUAAAUCCUUAAAAUAGUC